CUACGGGGGGCUCCAGUGAGGAAUUUUGCGCAAUGGGGGAAACCCUGACGCAGCAACGCCGCGUGAGUGAAGAAGGCCCUUGGGUCGUAAAGCUCUGUCAAUGGGGAAGAAGUUACUUGGUAUUAAUAGUGCCUUGUAUUGACGGUACCCAUGAAGGAAGCACCGGCUAGCUCCGUGCCAGCAGCCGCGGUAAUACGGGGGGUGCAAGCGUUAUUCGGAAUUAUUGGGCGUAAAGGGCACGCAGGCGGUCCUGUCAGUCAGAUGUGAAAGCCCGGGGCUCAACCCCGGACGUGCAUUUGAAACAGCAGGACUUGAGUACGGGAGAGGAAAGGGGAAUUCCUGGUGUAGAGGUGAAAUUCGUAGAUAUCAGGAGGAACACCGGUGGCGAAGGCGCCUUUCUGGACCGAUACUGACGCUGAGGUGCGAAGGCGUGGGUAGCGAACGGGAUUAGAUACCCUAGUAGUC
rnacentral:rRNA from 1 species